UUUGUACCUUCGCUUUUCUCAAUCAUGGAUCCAGAAAUUCUUAGUUCCUUGGGAAAAUCUGUGCUUUAUGUAUGGUGAUUUUCAGGCAAAGUAGGAGAUAUUCAGCAGGAAGAUAUUGAGAAGUUCAAGGAGGUGGCUAAAGAAAAGGAGAUUCCAGAAGAAAACAUUGUGAAUAUCAUCAAUAUUGAUGACUGUCCUACAAGUGAAUGAAAACAGGGACUUGCACCCCUCUGAAAUAAGCUGUCAUUGAGGACCAGGCGUAUCAUUUUCUCAGUGGUAUCAAGAUCAACAAUCUGAAAAAAAAUCUUUCUUGUUCUUGUCUAACAUCACCUUUCUCUCUUCAUAAACAUGCUUUCUUUCCUAUUUUAUCUCUCCUAGUCACCAUUCAUGUCCUGUAUGGUGUUAUUAGAUUUCUGAGUGUUCAAAUAAAUUGAUUUACUAUGUAUGCUA